rnacentral:rRNA from 1 species
GAGCUAACGCGUUAAAUCGACCGCCUGGGGAGUACGGCCGCAAGGUUAAAACUCAAAUGAAUUGACGGGGGCCCGCACAAGCGGUGGAGCAUGUGGUUUAAUUCGAUGCAACGCGAAGAACCUUACCUGGUCUUGACAUCCACAGAACUUAGCAGAGAUGCUUUGGUGCCUUCGGGAACUGUGAGACAGGUGCUGCAUGGCUGUCGUCAGCUCGUGUUGUGAAAUGUUGGGUUAAGUCCCGCAACGAGCGCAACCCUUAUCCUUUGUUGCCAGCGGUCCGGCCGGGAACUCAAAGGAGACUGCCAGUGAUAA